CCUACGGGAGGCAGCAGUGAGGAAUAUUGGUCAAUGGCCGGGAGGCUGAACCAGCCAAGUCGCGUGAGGGAAGACGGCCCUACGGGUUGUAAACCUCUUUUGUCAGGGAGCAAGGUGCAGGUCGGGACCUGCUGUGAGAGUACCUGACGAAAAAGCAUCGGCUAACUCCGUGCCAGCAGCCGCGGUAAUACGGAGGCUGCGAGCGUUAUCCGGAUUUAUUGGGUUUAAAGGGUGCGCAGGCGGAGGCACAAGUCAGCGGUAAAAUCGCGGGGCUCAACCCCGCUCCGCCGUUGAAACUGUGGCCCUUGAGUGCGCGAAGGGUAGGCGGAAUGCGUGGUGUAGCGGUGAAAUGCAUAGAUAUCACGCAGAACUCCGAUCGCGAAGGCAGCCUACCGGCGCGCAACUGACGCUCAUGCACGAAAGCGUGGGUAUCGAACAGGAUUAGAUACCCUAGUAGUC
rnacentral:rRNA from 1 species